AGGAGUUUGAUUCUGGCUCAGGACGAACGCUGGCGGCGUGCUUAACACAUGCAAGUCGAGCGAUGAAGCUUCUUCGGAAGUGGAUUAGCGGCGGACGGGUGAGUAACACGUGGGUAACCUGCCUCAUAGAGGGGAAUAGCCUUCCGAAAGGAAGAUUAAUACCGCAUAAGAUUGUAAUAUCGCAUGAUAUAGCAAUUAAAGGAGUAAUCCGCUAUGAGAUGGGCCCGCGGCGCAUUAGCUAGUUGGUGAGGUAACGGCUCACCAAGGCGACGAUGCGUAGCCGACCUGAGAGGGUGAUCGGCCACAUUGGGACUGAGACACGGCCCAGACUCCUACGGGAGGCAGCAGUGGGGAAUAUUGCACAAUGGGGGAAACCCUGAUGCAGCAACGCCGCGUGAGUGGUGACGGCCUUCGGGUUGUAAAGCUCUGUCUUCAGGGACGAUAAUGACGGUACCUGAGGAGGAAGCCACGGCUAACUACGUGCCAGCCGCUGC
rnacentral:rRNA from 1 species